rnacentral:rRNA from 1 species
CCUACGGGUGGCAGCAGUGGGGAAUAUUGGACAAUGGGGGGAACCCAGAUCCAGCCAUGCCGCGUGUGUGAAGAAGGCCCUCGGGUUGUAAAGCACUUUCAGUGAGGAAGAACGCCUGGUGGUUAAUACCCAUCAGGAAAGACAUCACUCACAGAAGAAGCACCGGCUAACUCCGUGCCAGCAGCCGCGGUAAUACGGAGGGUGCGAGCGUUAAUCGGAAUUACUGGGCGUAAAGCGCGCGUAGGUGGCUUGAUAAGCCGGUUGUGAAAGCCCCGGGCUCAACCUGGGAACGGCAUCCGGAACUGUCAAGCUAGAGUGCAGGAGAGGAAGGUAGAAUUCCCGGUGUAGCGGUGAAAUGCGUAGAGAUCGGGAGGAAUACCAGUGGCGAAGGCGGCCUUCUGGACUGACACUGACACUGAGGUGCGAAAGCGUGGGUAGCAAACAGGAUUAGAUACCCUGGUAGUC